AGAUGUGGGAUACUACGCGUGGCGCUGCCCGAAGCCGCUGAAGAACCGCGACGUGGUGACGCUGCGAUCGUGGCUGCAAAUAGGGGACGUGUUCAUCAUCAUCAACAGAUCCGUCAAACACCCGAACUACCCACCCCGUAAGGACGUGGUGCGGGCCGUGUCCAUCUGUACCGGGUACC